rnacentral:rRNA from 1 species
CCCUUAGAUGUUCUGGGCCGCACGCGCGCUACACUGACGAAUGCAACGAGCUUAUAACCUUGGCCGAAAGGUCUGGGUAAUCUCCAAAUUUCGUCGUGAUGGGGAUAGAUUAUUGCAAUUAUUAAUCUUCAACGAGGAAUGCCUAGUAAGCGCAAGUCAUCAGCUUGCGUUGAUUACGUCCCUGCCCUUUGUACACACCGCCCGUCGCUACUACCGAUUGAACGGUUUAGUGAGGGCAUCGGACUGGUCUCGGCCCGCCCUUCACCGGUGCGGCGCCGCCGGCCGGGAAGACGCUCGAACUUGAUCGUUUAGAGGAAGUAAAANUCGUAACA